rnacentral:piRNA from 1 species
GAAACCAACAAAGCAACUUAAUCUACACUC